GACGAACGCUGGCGGCGCGCCUAACACAUGCAAGUCGAACGGAGUCACGAGGAGCUUGCUUUUCUUGACUUAGUGGCGAACGGGUGAGUAACGCGUGAGUAACCUGCCCUGGAGUGGGGGACAACAGUUGGAAACGACUGCUAAUACCGCAUAAGCCCACGGAUCUGCAUGGAUCUGCGGGAAAAGGAUUUAUUCGCUCUAGGAUGGACUCGCGUCCAAUUAGCUAGUUGGUGAGGUAACGGCCCACCAAGGCGACGAUUGGUAGCCGGACUGAGAGGAUGAACGGCCACACUGGGACUGAGACACGGCCCAGACUCCUACGGGAGGCAGCAGUGGGGGAUAUUGCACAAUGGGGGAAACCCUGAUGCAGCGACGCCGCGUGGAGGAAGAAGGUUUUCGGAUUGUAAACCCCUGUCGUUAGGGACGAUAAUGACGGUACCUAACAAGAAAGCACCAGCUAACUACGUG
rnacentral:rRNA from 1 species